GACGAACGCUGGCGGCGUGCUUAACACAUGCGAGUCGAACGGAAAGGCCCCCAUCUUGGUGGGGGUGCUCGAGUGGCGAACGGGUGAGUAACACGUGGGUGAUCUGCCCUGUACUUCGGGAUAAGCUUGGGAAACUGGGUCUAAUACCGGAUAGGACCAUGGUUUAGUGUCUCAUGGUGGAAAGAUUAUUGUUUUGGUGCAGGAUGAGCUCGCGGCCUAUCAGCUUGUUGGUGGGGUAAUGGCCUACCAAGGCGUCGACGGGUAGCCGGCCUGAGAGGGUGGACGGCCACAUUGGGACUGAGCUACGGCCCCGACUCCUACGGGAGGCAGCAGUGGGGAAUAUUGCACAAUGGGCGCAAGCCUGAUGCAGCGACGCCGCGUGGGGGAUGACGGCCUUCGGGUUGUAAACUCCUUUCGUUAGGGACGAAGCCGCACUUUUUUUGGGUGUGGUGACGGUACCUUUGUUAAGAAGCACCGGCUAACUACGUG
rnacentral:rRNA from 1 species